UGGGGCUGACUUCUGUGGCGACCAGGACACGACGAUCCCUUAUCAGCCUGUAGGCGACCCGAGAGGACAAGCCGGGGGCAGAACAGCGGAAGACCACCCUGGUGUUGAGAGGAGAAUAAACGGGGAUCCUCAGGGAGCGCCAUGGAGGAGCUUUUUCUGUUCCACAGCAGCAGGACGGGCUCUGCUUGAGUUCUUAGGACCUCUCAGUGGAAGUCAAUUAUCGGUGCGGCUGCAGCCAUGAGGAGACCCAGCAACAGCAUGAAGUGGAAUAAAACCGAAGAGCUGGAGGCUCGAAACAUCCGCUGCUCCGCCUCACAACACUGCAGAACAUCAAACUGAAGAAACACGGAAACACGCAGAGAUAGGAGUUUUAUUCCCACUUCACCGCCGCCAGUGCUUUAAGGCUGCAGAUCAAAAGUUGCAAUCAAUUACAAAAAGUAAAAUUUUUUGAUAUUUUUUUUAGUGCCAAAUGUUUAGGAAAAGGGUCAUAUUUAUCUCCAUUAUUAGGAUAAACAUUUUUGUAUAAUUUUUUAGACAUCGUCUAAGAAACAAGAACAGCAGCAGCUGUGAACACAAGGACUCCUGUCUUAGUAGCUCCGAAUAUCAUAUUUAUAAAACUAAAGAAAGUUUAUUUUUACCAGACACACUGUAAUUUAAGCCAACAUUGCUAAGCUAACUGGUUGCUAGCUUUAUAACAAACUGUGGACUUAGGAGGUGGUAAAGGAACUAGAAACAUCUUUAAUCAUAUACACUUAAAUAAAAUAUAUACAUAUUACUGCAUGAAA